UACGUAGGGUGCAAGCGUUGUCCGGAAUUAUUGGGCGUAAAGAGCUGCUGAGCGGUUUGUCGCGUCUGCUGUGAAAUUUCGGGGCUCAACCCCGAACUUGCAGUGGGUACGGGCAGACUAGAGUGUGGUAGGGGAGACUGGAAUUCCUGGUGUAGCGGUGAAAUGCGCAGAUAGUCAGGAGGAACACCGAUGGCGAAGGCAGGUCUCUGGGCCACUACUGACGCUGAGAAGCGAAAGCAUGGGGAGCGAACAGG
rnacentral:rRNA from 1 species